UUCAAUACACAUGGCUAGGCCUCCAAUUAGAAAAACACAUGUUCCAUCAAAACGUAUAACUAUCAAAUGCCCGAGGGCAGACACAAAGUAGCGUCAAUUCAACAAUGUCUGGGCCAGAGGGCAAGAAAUCCCAUCAACACAUUCCACUGAAUACCAAGUAAACGGCCUACAGGAGGAGAUUGGGGGGACGUUAUCUUGUACCCUGAACUUAAACACUGAUAUAGACCUAUUUUUGUCCAGUAACUAGAGCCAUUGGACAUGAAGGUUAGCUGGGGAAAGCCAGGCAGGUAUUUGAUGGGAAUUAAGUUAGAGGUACAUCAAAUAAAUACUAAAGAGAGCUCAGGAGUUGAUGGAGAAAACUGCAUGUAAUCAGAGGCUGGCCACAGAAAUGACCAAGUGAGGAAGAAAAAAUCCAAUAUAGAUCUCUCCUCCACCACUAAAGUAGACAUGAAGGCAGACACACAAGGUGAUCGACUAGACAUCAAAGUCAGUUAACAUACACAGAGGAAGAGAAAAUCAUAUCAACAACCAAGUCACCAGAAGGAGUAAACUUACCAGCCAUAGUAAUAGGAUCCUGAUCUACAAAGAGAAGAGAGAUCAAGUCUUAUGGAAUAUGGAUUAUGAUAACUACAAUCUAACGGAAUUAUGAAACCUUUCAGAUUACAAGUACACAGACUGACGAAUGAGCCACUCCAUCUUAAACUUGUGAGCAUGGUGAAAAUACAUUGUAAUUUCAUGGUUGUUAUUUAUUUUUGUGCAACUUGUAAGAAAAAUCUGCAGAGUUUUAACUCAUAGACUUAAUAACAGAGAAAAAAACAAAUAAGAUGAACUAUAAUAAUUUUAUUCAAUAAAGAAUC